UGACACAAUAACAAACAGAAAGCAAAAGGUAAAAAAAAGGUUUCAUUCCUCUGUAGGGUCCUUUCAAUAAUAUUGUCAGACACUUAUAAUAACAAUCUGAAUCUGUCAGUGGCAACAACAAGCACUUCUAGUGGACGUACAUUGAUGGUGAAGAGUUGCCUGGAGCGAUUACAUUGCAGCCCGUUUGCAACGUUUUCCCUCAAUACUGGACCAAUUUCCAGGUUGAAAAAUACCAAUGUUACCCUUUCACAACCACAAUUUUACCAUUUAUUGUUUUGUUUUGUCAUUUCUGUGUUGUUCAUAGAUGAAUGUCUUGUUUCAUGAUUUCCAAUAUCAGUUACAUGUUUGAGUUCAUCACAUGAAGUUAGAUGUUCAUACACAGCACUGUUUGAUCCUUGUGUGUUCACGUAAUCUGGAAAUUAAAGGAGCAGUGUGUAGGUUUUGGCGCCAUCUAUUGGCGAUGUUGCAGAUUGCAACCAACUGAAUCUUCUUUCGUGUGCCAAGAGUUGUUGGAGAGCAACACAUGACCCUCUCUACAGCCAGUGUUUGGUUUGUCCGUUCUGGGCUACUGUAGAAACAUGGCGGACUCCGUGAAGAGGACCCGCUCCCUAUGUAGAUAUAAACGGCUCAUUCUAAGAUGGCGUAACGCCACCAUCAUCCCCGGCUAAUUCAGGAAGCAGAGUGUUCAAAACAUUUCUGACAGGAAGCAGCAAGUGACCUUUAAGCUGGAAAUGCUCGGCUGUCUUUCUUCAUCAGAUCUGGAGGUGCGGAGCAGAGACAUAUCCGUUAGCUCAGGUACCUUGACAAUGUGUGCAGGGGACCAACACAGAGACCGAGCAUGGAUGAGAGGAAGGCAAGUUAUUGAUUUAAUAUCAAAACAUGACACGUGUGAAAAUCUCAUAAAAGGGAAUAGGAUUUUAUUUGAUUGGCU